AGAGAGAGAGAGAGAGAGAGAAAAGAAAGAAAGAGAGAGAGAAAGAGAGAGAGAAAGAAAGAAAGAAAGAGAGAGAGAGAAAGAAAGAGAGAGAGAGAGAGAAAGAAAGAAAGAAAGAAAGAAAGAAAGAAAGAAAGAAAGAAAGAAAGAAAGAAAGAAAGAAAGAAAGAAAGAAAGAAAGAAAGAAAGAAAGAAAGAAAGAAAGAAAGAAAGAAAGAAAGAAAGAAAGAAAGAAAGAAAGAAAGAAAGAAAAAGAAAGAAAGAAAGAAGCUCAAAUAGAUUCAUACGAAUAUGGUUGCAAGGAUUUUUUGAGAACUUCAAUAUAUCUUU
rnacentral:lncRNA from 1 species